CCCAGUUCUGCCUCUUCCUCCUCAUCCCGGGAUUUUCCCUGUCCUGGGAUUCUGCCCCAGACAUCCCCAGGGUUUGGAAUUCUCGGAAUUCCUGCAAUUCCCAGAGCCCAAUCCUGAAUUUCUUGGGAAUUUUCCACCCAAUUUUGGCCAUUCUCAAAUCCUUGGAAGCUUCGUCAUUCCCAGCUCCAGGAUUUUCCUUUCAAACCCUUCCAUUUCCACCCAAAAUCUGGGAUCACAGAGCUGGAAAAUUCCCAAAAUUCCUGGAAUUCUUUUUCUGGGAAUUCCUUUUCCAACAACUCCACAUUUUUAUCGACAAGAAAUUGAUGGAAUUUCCAGGAUUUAAUGGGAUUUUCCCAUCCUUUCCUGGCUCCUGGGAAUAUUUGGAUCCCAUUUUCCAGAGUUUGGGAAUGCUGCUCUGGAUCCUGGAGCCUAAUUCAAAUAUGCAAAUGAGAUGCAAAUGAGCUGUCGAAAUAAAUUUCUUUUUUAUUGCGGAUUUUACAAAAAUAAAUUAAAAAGAAAUAAAUUAAACCCCUCCCCCCCCCUCCCUUUUCCUUCCUUUCCUGGAAUUCCCACGGGAUUCCCACUCCAAGGGAAAAAAAAUCAAAGGAAAAACCAUUCCCAAAUUUUUCCCUCCUCCAAAAUUCCAGAGAUUUUUUUUUUUGUUGGGUUUUUUUGGGGGGAAAGGGAUGGAAAUUCCCCGGAUUUUUUCCCUCUGGGAAUUCUCCACUCUAGAGGGAAACGGGAUCAAAGCCAUUCCCGGGGUUUUCUUGGGAAAAUCCCGUGGGAUGAGGGAGGGAGGGAGGAGGAGCCGGAGCCUUCUGGAAUUCCGGGCUCUGGUUUCCCGGAAUUCCCAACGUUCCCAGUGCUCCCUUUUCCCGGGAUUUGCUCCAAGAUAAUCCAGGGCACGUGGGGGGGAUUGGGAUCCUCCUGCAUCCACAUUCCCAAAUCUCCAUCCCACAUUCCCAAAUCUCCACAUUCCCAAAUCCCCAAUCCCCAAAUCCCAUUCCUAAUUCCCAAAUUUCGCUUCCCAAUUCCCAAAUCUUCACCCCCAUUCCCAAACUCCAGCCCUAAUCCCGGUCUCCAUCCCCAAUUCCCAAAUUUUCCUUCCUAUUUCCCAAAUUUCCCUCCCCGAUCCCACCGGGAUUUUUCCCACCCCGGAGCAGGAACACGGAAUUUUCCCUUUGGGAAUUCCGGAUUUUCCCGCCCUCAUUGCUCUGGAAAAUGGCUUCGAUUUUGGGAUCCCAAAAAAACCAACUCCCAAAAUUCCAUGGAUUCUUCGAAAUUCCAUGGAUUCCUCGAGAGAGGAGGGGGGAAAAAAACAACCCCCAAAAAUUCCAACCUGAUUUUUGGGAAGAGGGAACAGGAGGGGACUCGGCACCGCCCCCACCCCCGGCUUUUCCCAGAUUUUUCCCUCUUUUCCCAGAUUUUUCCCUUUGGGAAUGGAUGUCCCCAGGUGCCACCUCUGAAUGUCCCCAAGUGCCACCAACCCCGCGAAGCGAAGCAGGGAAAGGAGGGAGCGCAUUCCCAGCGUGGAUCCCGCUGGAAAAGGCGAUCCAGGGAAUCCAGGAAAUCCCGGGAAUCCAAGAAAUCCCGGGAAUCCCGGAAUUCCCUCCCGCGGCAGCAGCGAAGCGGCUCCCACCCCCUCCCCAUUGUCCCUCCCCGUGUCCCCUCCUUGCCCCGCCCCUUAUUGCGACAGAAUUCCAGGGAAUUCGGAGCUGGAGCCGGGAAUGUCCCGCUGGGAUUUGGGAUUUGGGAGAAGCGGCACCGGCGGCGGGAUCGGGGUUGGGAUUUAGUGCAAGAACGCUGCCCAUGCACGGCAUUCCCGGGAAACGCGCCCCGUUCCGGCUGGAAACUCCCGGGAAGAUCUCUGCGAUUUGGGAUCCGGGAUUGGGAUUUGGGAUCCGGGAUUGGGAUUUGGGAUCCGGGAUCCAGCCGGGGGGAGCGGGCGGAGCA
rnacentral:lncRNA from 1 species